rnacentral:rRNA from 1 species
UACGUAGGUGACCAGCGUUGUCCGGAUUUACUGGGCGUAAAGAGCGCGCAGGCGGUCGUUCAAGUCGAGUGUGAAAGCCCCCGGCUCAACUGGGGAGGGUCAUUCGAUACUGAUCGACUUGAAGGCAGGAGAGGGAAGUGGAAUUCCCGGUGUAGUGGUGGAAUGCGUAGAUAUCGGGAGGAACACCAGUGGCGAAGGCGGCUUUCUGGCUCGCAACUGACGCUGUAGCGCGAAAGCGUGGGGAGCGAACGGG